GACGGAAGGUGCAAGCGUUGCUCGGAAUCACUGGGCGUAAAGGGUGCGUAGGCGGCUUGGUGGGUCUGGUGUGAAAGCCCCGGGCUCAGCCCGGGAAGGGCGCUAGAAACUGCCGAGCUCGAGUGCCGGAGGGGAGAGUGGAAUUCCUGGUGUAGCGGUGAAAUGCGCAGAUAUCAGGAGGAACACCGAUGGCGAAGGCAGGUCUCUGGGCCACUACUGACGCUGAGAAGCGAAAGCAUGGGGAGCGAACAGG
rnacentral:rRNA from 1 species